rnacentral:rRNA from 1 species
UUGGGAUGAGUCCUCAAUACACCCUGUGUGAUUGAUGA